ensembl:lncRNA
AGGUGCGCCGUCAGUACAAGCUUUGGUGGCAGAAAGUGAGUCCAUCUAAGGAGCCUGGGCAGACCACCACCUCCAACUUGGUAUUAAACGAGUAUGAGAGUGCCAGCGAGAGUACAACAUGUGGAACGUCAGGCCCACAAAAGACACAACACGAUUGAAUCUGAAACAUUAGGCUCCCUAAGGAUUGUAUUUUGGCAUUGAGGAACAUUAGCUGAAAAUACUUAAACUACAGUCCGAAACUGGUACUGAGGAUAUACUUUCUGUACGUAAGAAUGUUCAACUCUCCUAUGUGUUCUUCACAACUUCUGGAUGUAGAUGGGUCAUUCAUAGACUGUCCAAAGCCAUAUCCAUAGCAUUGUGAUAACCCUGGUUUUCACUGACUGACACCAAGUGCCCGAGUAAUGUAUUUAAGCCCCUGUACUUCACCUUGAGUACUUUUGGCCUUUCAUCUUCACAGUUUGGUAGACAGAUAUGUAAAGCUCUGUCGUCUUCUACAAAAACUUAUCCUAGCAGGUCAUUACUUAGUAAAGCUGCAGUAAAACUUAAAUUAAUAGCCAGUUAAUAGCAACCAACAACAAACUCCAGGGCUCUGUAAUCAACCAUAUGAAAUUCAGUAUAUGCCUGCCAGUCAUUUUGCAAUAUAGAAAGGAGCAAUAAGACUCACAUUUUGCUUUCUUGCACAUGUAAGAUACAUUUAAAAGGCUACAUACAGUAUAAAAACUGUCAAAUGGAAGAUAACAAGCAGUGUUAGAUGCAAUGAUGAAACGCAACUGUCAGAUAGAAAUGUACCAGACAGUCAGCAGAUCAAUGCACUGGGUCAAAGGCAGUUAGACAGUUGAAAUGUGGAAACCACGUAAGUCGCAAGAAAAUAUGAUGACAGCAGAAAAGUAAAAUACAGAAGUUCUGUUAAACGGACAAAGUCCAAAAAAGGCAAGAAAGCACCGUGCAGGGUGGACAGACGACCAAGACAUCGGCUGAAGGCCACAUACCACUAAGUGACAUCACCACUGGGCCAAUAAAAGAUCGAACAUAUCCUGAAGCUGACAGAACGCGCCUUCUCCAGCUUUUGAUGUAUCACUGUAUUGAAAGCUGUAUUGCUAUUAUUAUUUGCCAGUAAAAAACUUGUACAACGAUCGUCUUGUCCGGUGCCUCCUUCCUAAACCAGCACGCAAAGAGAAAUACUUAACACACAGCAACCUAAUACAAAGCUCCUCAACCUACCAGCUCUAAAUGGCCAUCUUCAACCCUCUCCACCAAACAUCUAGUACGUCAUCAUGUCCUUAGUACAUAUGUUCAUCAUGAUUCGGGUGUCAGCUUAUUGCAGUUCCAAAUAUAUAUGUUUUUUUUUCCACUCCAUAAGCUGUUUUAAUAUCAAAAUUGCAAAUAUGUCUAAAGUGUAUUUUGUUUAACAUAACCAUGUAAUAUCUUUAUUUCAUUGUAUAUAUUAUAUUUCAUUAUUUUCCAUUUUAUCUUUUCUAUCCUUGUCUGAAUACUUUUGGUUUUGCCUAUUAGGCUACCUAUGUAUGUGCAUUCUGUAAAUGUAGAUAGGCCAACUUAAUUACAUUCAUGAAUAUCGCAAAAUCUUGCUGUCAAUCACUAGUGCUUUAUGGGUUAACCUUGCACGCAUAAUAAACACUUUUUUGUAAAAGGGUUUUAUUAUUUAUACCUUCGACUAGAAAGUAAUUGAAGUCAGCUGCCAUACUGUUCUUUUGGAAAUUCUAGUGGUUGGUUGUCACUGCAAAAUAAAAUGAUAAAAGGACAAACUGAUUGCAAUCUUUGUGUCUGUGGUAGAAAACGUUUCAGCCUUUUCCUCAUUACUGCGCAGCACCAUCUGACUGUCUUUGCGAACACACCCCGCUUACUUGUUACCACAGCAACUUGA